rnacentral:rRNA from 1 species
GACGAACGCUGGCGGCGCGCCUAACACAUGCAAGUCGAACGGAGUCAAGAGGAGCUUGCUUUUCUUGACUUAGUGGCGAACGGGUGAGUAACGCGUGAGUAACCUGCCCUGGAGUGGGGGACAACAGUUGGAAACGACUGCUAAUACCGCAUAAGCCCACGGAUCUGCAUGGAUCUGCGGGAAAAGGAUUUAUUCGCUCUAGGAUGGACUCGCGUCCAAUUAGCUAGUUGGUGAGGUAACGGCCCACCAAGGCGACGAUUGGUAGCCGGACUGAGAGGUUGAACGGCCACAUUGGGACUGAGACACGGCCCAGACUCCUACGGGAGGCAGCAGUGGGGGAUAUUGCACAAUGGGGGAAACCCUGGUGCAGCGACGCCGCGUGGAGGAAGAAGGUUUUCGGAUUGUAAACUCCUGUCGUUAGGGACGAUAAUGACGGUACCUAACAAGAAAGCACCAGCUAACUACGUG